rnacentral:rRNA from 1 species
GUAGGGUGCAAGCGUUAAUCGGAAUUACUGGGCGUAAAGCGUGCGCAGGCGGUUUUGUAAGUCUGUCGUGAAAGCCCCGGGCUCAACCUGGGAAUUGCGAUGGAGACUGCAAGGCUUGAAUCUGGCAGAGGGGGGUAGAUUCCACGUGUAGCAGUGAAAUGCGUAGAGAUGUGGAGGAACACCGAUGGCGAAGGCAGCCCCCUGGGUCAAGAUUGACGCUCAUGCACGAAAGCGUGGGGGGAGCAAACAGGAUUAGAUACCCUGGUAGUCCACGCCCUAAACGAUGUCUACUAGUUGUCGGGUUUUAAUUAACUUGGUAACGCAGCUAACGCGUGAAGUAGACCGCCUGGGGAGUACGGUCGCAAGAUUA